UACGUAGGGGGCAAGCGUUGUCCGGAUUCAUUGGGCGUAAAGAGGGUGUAGGCGGCCAGGUAGGUCGGUUGUGAAAACUGGAGGCUCAACCUUCAGACGUCGACCGAAACCAUCUGGCUAGAGUCCGGGAGAGGAGAGUGGAAUUCCUGGUGUAGCGGUGAAAUGCGCAGAUAUCAGGAAGAACACCCGUGGCGAAAGCGGCUCUCUGGAACGGUACUGACGCUGAGACGCGAAAGCGUGGGGAGCGAACAGG
rnacentral:rRNA from 1 species